UGGGGAAUCUUGCGCAAUGGGCGAAAGCCUGACGCAGCGACGCCGCGUGUGGGAUGAAGGUCUUCGGAUUGUAAACCACUGUCGGGAGGGACGAAGCUCUGACGGUACCUCCAAAGGAAGCACCGGCUAACUCUGUGCCAGCAGCCGCGGUAAUACAGAGGGUGCGAGCGUUGUCCGGAAUCACUGGGCGUAAAGGGCGCGUAGGCGGCCUGGUAAGUAGGGGGUGAAAUCUCAUGGCUCAACUGUGAGGCUGCCUUCUAGACUGCUGGGCUUGAGCACGGUAGAGGCUGGUGGAAUUCCCGGUGUAGCGGUGGAAUGCGUAGAGAUCGGGAGGAACAUCGGUGGCGAAGGCGGCCAGCUGGGCCGUUGCUGACGCUGAGGCGCGAAAGCGUGGGGAGCAAACAGGAUUAGAUACCCCUGUAGUCCCUGAGCGGGCUGGCAAGGCGCAU
rnacentral:rRNA from 1 species